GCCUGCUCAUUCCCCGCCGCCCGGGCCCCGCGCGGCGAUCCCCACACGCCCAAGCAACGCCGGGCCGCGGCCGCCGGCAGCGUUUGCAUAGCACCGCCCGCCGCGCGGGGCACGCCGGGAAGUGUAGUCCUCGGGGCGCACGGGUGGAGGAGAAGCUGCUGGAGCUGUUCUCAACAAGAUGGCUGACACCCCCUCAACAAGAUGGCUGCCUCAAGGACAGGGCUCAGAAGUGACAAGGGUAUCAUGGUUUCUACCUCUUAUCUUUCACAGGGACUACCCUGCAACUCCCAGCACCAUGAGAUCACUCCUGAAUGGACCCUCAGAAACCAAAUCCAUCAACUGCAGGCCCACUUCUGGUGAGCUCACAACUUCACCGCUGCUCCUGAAACUCUGCCACCUCUUCAACUGUCUCCUCCAGUGCAACCAUUGUUCCCACCUCCACUGGUCUACUCUCCCUCCAGAAACAUGACGUGGAGCUCCACACUCGGGGCACUACUCACAACAUCACAAAGCAGGCAGGUAGGGAGUUACCAGAAUUCCUGUUUCCAUCUUUAACUUGGGCAUGUCCUUAUUUCUGCAAGGUGAUCCAAGCUGCCUGGAUGGAAGGGCAGAUGUGAGAAAUUUCUCCCCAGCUCCUUGCACCUCAGGUUGAGCAGAACCCUGGAGAGCUCCUCCUCCUCCUCCUCCCCGCGGCCUCCAGCUGCGCCGCUGCGCAGGGCAGGGGUGCACAGAAACUGGAGUAAGCCACAUGCAAAUCAGUGGUAACCAAAUAUGCUUAACCCAGGGGGAAGCUGGUGGGAAGAGCAGUCAGUGAGAGGUUAAUAAACAAGCAAGCAAAUAGGCUGGAAUAUACAGGCCCUGGUAUAUUGGCAUGUCAGUGGAGGGCUGUGUCUAGUAAAUAAACAAACAUACUUUAGCUGUUUCCUCAGGGUAAAGGGAGUAGGAGUGUGUUCAAAGAGUAAUAUUUGCUUUAUGCUAUCCUGCAAGCACAGGUUCAAUAUGUAUAUAUUAGGAAGUAUUUAUAGGUUGUAUAUGUGAAUGAUCAAGGAAUUAAGACAACUUGAAUAAUCAGCAGCGUACACCAAAUCCCAUCGGUCUGAUCCCAGUCCCUAGUUCCUCACUUCUCCGUGUUACAAAUUCACAGGCGAUUAAAAUGGCUACUUAGCUAUGUGAUGUUAUUGUAAGCAGCAUCACUUGUCAGGUAUUUUAAGUAUGAAAAGUGAUGUUAAUUGUUAGGCAUUACUACCCAGGUAAAAUUACACCCCAGUUUUAAGAAUACACAACAGUAUUCCAGUAAUUUCUUUAAUGUGAUAGCUUUGAGAGAGUGAUACGUUUUUCUUUUACAUUUGUACUACAAGACCUUUGUUAUUACUUUGUUCAUUAAAAUUCUCUCUGCAAUAAAGAUGAUUCAAUGAUUUCGCAAACCAAUCUCAUCCUCAGAAUGUUAUAAUUUGACAAUUUCAAGGCUUCCCAACACAGACCCGUGUAUAUAUGUCAUAUAUCACAUUGCAGAUUUCAUCCAAUAGCAGAAAAUGUACUCUGAAUGCAAUAUCAUCUUAUCAGUAUUCUAGCACCAUAAGCUUUCUCACUGCAAGCAGGGUACUGUUCAUUACAAUGAAACUGAAAAUGGAAUAACUGAAGGAUUGAUUUAUAUGACCUUCGCUCAGGAAUGUUCUAAUUCUGACAUAAUCUCUCUGACUGAAACCCUAAACACUGUAUAAUUCUGAUUUAUUUCCCUUCAAAGAAGGAGCUUAGAUCUCUAGAUCAGCAGAAUACCUAGCAUGAAAAAAAGUGGUGCAACAGCUCAGGAAGACUGCAAGAAAAAUGCAGAUUGAUCAUGUGACUGAACUCCAAACAUUGUCUCAGCCAGCAAAUCCAAGAACAGGGCUGAAAGCAAGUGGAAAAACAUGAUGUGGAUGUUUUCACAAAUCCCCUCCAUCGCUCAGAAAUCUCUUGGUUACAUAUACAUUUUAAUAGCAAAGAUAAGAGCAUGUUAAUAAGUUAAAACACGAACCAAUCUGUUUCCUGAAAGUUGCAGGGAAUGUUUAUGAAAACAGCUAAUUUAUAGCAAAACAGGGCCAGAGCUUGAGCCCGAUACGCUAUACAAAAGGCUGCUUUACCAGGCAGCUCUGUUCUCCUCCUGCAACAGCACUAUACGUAUUCUGUGCUACUCUGUCCUAAUAUCUGCUUGCCACAGGGGCCAGGAGAAGCCUUAUCAGUGGUGUGAGGGUAUGUUGGACCUAUCUCUGACUGCUAUCAGGUGAAAGCUACAGCAGCCCUACGGUGUGCUGCUUAAAAAUAAUACCUGAUACCUUUAAAGCAAAGUAGCUGGAGCUAAAUCGAGUAGAAUCUGCCUGAAUUGGAAGGUGAAUCGGGUUGACUCUCACUUCUUGUAUUUUUUGGUGAGGUAAAGAGAGCCAUUAGAAGAAAGGACAGAUACAAACUAUUCUCAAUGAACUGGUUGAUAAAUAUACAUUAAAAGCCCAAUGAACACAGUUAACACCUUCCAUAAUUAAAAUGAACAGGUCAUCUAAUUUUAAGCAGACUAAAACAGAAACCUGCCCCCAACCUGCUCCUUUUUCUGUUCUUAGUGUUGGGUGAAAUGAGCGUCUGCCUCCUUUCCUCCUGCACACUCAGCUCACAGUUCCCACUUAGCCACUUCCCAGUCCUAUUUUGGACAAAUCUCUAUCUUACCACCCUCCUCUUGCAAAUCCUUCCUUUCUGGGGUACUCGGCAUCCUCCUCUCACACAGAACUCACCUUUUAC